GAUGAACGCUAGCGGCAGGCCUAAUACAUGCAAGCUGAACGGCAAGAUUUGUAGCAAUACGAGUCCUAGAGUAGCGUAAGGGUGCGUAACACGUAUGCAAUCUGCCCCGCAACAGGAGGAUAGCUUAGCGAAAGUUGAGAUAAGACUCCAUAAGAUCACGAGAGGGCAUCUGAUUGUGAUUAAACUACAAGGGGUUGCGGAUGAGCAUGCGUCUGAUUAGUUAGUUGGCGGGGUAACGGCCCACCAAGACGAUG
rnacentral:rRNA from 1 species